rnacentral:rRNA from 1 species
UCGAUGAAGAACGUAGCGAAAUGCGAUACUUGGUGUGAAUUGCAGAAUCCCGUGAACCAUCGAGUCUUUGAACGCAAGUUGCGCCCGAAGCCGUUAGGCCGAGGGCACGUCUGCCUGGGCGUCA